CGCUCUGUGCCCAGGACAGCCCCUCCCAGGUCCCUGCUGGGAGGUGUCCCAAUCCCGAGCUCCCUGGAGAGGGAGCAGGACACGACGCUCAAAGGUCAUCCAUCGGUCCCCUGACACUGGGGACUGGCCGGAAAGCCGGGGUUGUGCAGAGGUCUGGACGUGGCAGGUACGGGAGUCCACGCGGCCCUGGUCCUCCCCCUGGACCAGGAGGAGCGGAGUGCUACACCCCGGGGACCCUCAGCCCACAGCCAGUUUCCGGCUUGGACUCUGCCACCUGGUUCAUCUUGGGGGGUUGAGGUAGAGGAAGUGAAUUGAAACCAUUACUACCAUCACCACCCAUCCCCCUCAGCUUUGUAAAGGUUCUCCGCCCGGUUCGCCACUUGAAGCCUGGACAGAAGGGGACAGGGGUUUCCACGGGCUAAGGAGGACACCUGUCUUUGUAUCACCACUGGGUGGUGCCCACACCCCCGGGGGAUGCUGGUGAUGGAGUUGUCUAAGCCGGGUUCUUAGCACUGGUCAGGAUCAGCCUGAGAGCUUCUGAGCCUUCGCUGGACCCGCGUCCUGACAAGUUCCCAGGUGACAGUGAUGCUACUGGUCUCGAGGCCACACCUCGACAGGCCUCUGCCACCUCCCGUGUGUGUCACAGCCCCCCGGGGUUCAGAAGCCCCCCCAGGUGUCAGGCCAAAUCCCACUGGAUUCACCAGAGCAUAGGAUAAAGCACCUGACCUGCUGUGUACCUGCCAGUCCGUGACCUUGGCAGGGAGACCAGGGGCCUGGGUCCUCUCCCUGGAAGGGACAGUGAUGCCCCAGCCCCGUUUUCCCACCACCUCUGUGUGCCUCAGGAGGGCCCACUCCAUCCUCGCCCCCCGUCCUCUGUUUCCACACAACGCCCAGCCUUGUGCUCUGUUCACAGUUCCAUGUGGGCCCCCUCUCUGCCCUGCUCCCGCACCAGACACACCCCUGCAGGUGCCACCAAGAGUCCCAGGCAGCCCAGCGUCAGGAGGGCUCCUGGAUCCAGCUGCCCACUGGAUAGGGGUCAUCACAACAUUCUGGAAACGGAAAAGUUGCCUUAACCAUUUUCACAGAGAGGAAUUGCCCCAGCG
ensembl:lncRNA